UUCAGUCCGCACCAAGGUGCUAUACUAUAGGUGGACCGCAAUGUCAAAAUUGCUGUUCGGCCAUUGCUCGUGAAAAAACAAAUUUGUUUACAAAACAUAUCAUAUCUUUUGGUGACAAAUUCAUUCGUCGGCAAAAUAGCUGCUCGCGCUUUACUGUAGAUAUCUACAAUCAGCGGUCGAAUUAAAAACAGUGCAGAAGGAUGUUUUGAGUAUGUUUUAGCUUCUAGCCGCGCAAUCAAUGCUUUUUUUCCAAGCAAGAUGUACUUCUGUUUGGAUCCUAUCGGCGAGGAAAAAAGUACUUACGGCGACGGUGACAAGAAAUAGCGCUGAUUGCGAGAUUACCAGAUCCAGAAGAUCCGGAAGGGCUGUUACAAGUAAUUGGUUUUGCUAGAGCAAAAGGAGGUUGACAAUGAUUGCAACAGGUGAAAUAAACUGUUGGAAUCACGACUAUCGAUCACGCCAGAAGAUCCGGAAAAAGUUGUUGAAAGUAAUUGGCCACAGAAAAGUAUCCAUUUAUGAAGUCUAUCUCCAUCUCGGGGGAAAGUGUGGUAAACAAUGUCCGGGUUGUUUUUCGUUAUGCGGACCUUGUUUCCGCAUCCUUUUACUGCACAAUAAUACGGCAUCUGAAGAAAAUAAGAUAUUCACAAUAUAAUUUUGGCAUGAUAGAGAACCGCGAGAUGAACGAUUAUCUGUGGAGGAGUUGGACAACAGAUUUCUUAGACUUAUAGCACUUUAAUCACACUCACAAGCUCUUCAAAUCCUCACUGUCCCCCAAAACUAUUGAAUAAUAUGUAAUAUAAAUACCUUAUUGCAGCUCUAGUACACUAUUUUUCACGAAUAUAUAUUUGCUUAUUUCUUUCUUCAGUUGUUUUCCUCAGCGAGUUGAUAUGAAACCAUAACGACACAACCAAACAAAAAGUAAACAAUGCAGAAAGCUACGUCUCGCAACUCGUCUCACGUAUUGUCAUGAAAGUGUCAAGAACGAAACACCUAUAGUUUAGC